rnacentral:rRNA from 1 species
GUGAACGCUGGCGGUAGGCCCAACACAUGCAAGUCGCACGGCAGCACAGUAAGAGCUUGCUCUUACGGGUGGCGAGUGGCGGACGGGUGAGGAAUACAUCGGAAUCUACUUUUUCGUGGGGGAUAACGUAGGGAAACUUACGCUAAUACCGCAUACGACCUACGGGUGAAAGCAGGGGAUCUUCGGACCUUGCGCGAUUGAAUGAGCCGAUGUCGGAUUAGCUAGUUGGCGGGGUAAAGGCCCACCAAGGCGACGAUCCGUAGCUGGUCUGAGAGGAUGAUCAGCCACACUGGAACUGAGACACGGUCCAGGCUCCUACGGGAGGCAGCAGUGGGGAAUAUUGGACAAUGGGCGCAAGCCUGAUCCAGCCAUACCGCGUGGGUGAAGAAGGCCUUCGGGUUGUAAAGCCCUUUUGUUGGGAAAGAAAAGCAGCAGGUUAAUACCCCGCUGUUCUGACGGUACCCAAAGAAUAAGCACCGGCUAACUUCGUG